rnacentral:rRNA from 1 species
UACGUAGGGUGCAAGCGUUUAAUCGGAAUUACUGGGCGUAAAGCGUGCGCAGGCGGUUGUGCAAGACAGAUGUGAAAUCCCCGGCUUAACCUGGGAACUGCAUUUGUGACUGUACGCUAGAGUGCGGCAGAGGGGAGUGGAAUUCCGCGUGUAGCAGUGAAAUGCGUAGAUAUGCGGAGGAACACCGAUGGCGAAGGCAAUCCCCUGGGCCUGCACUGACGCUCAUGCACGAAAGCGUGGGGAGCAAACAGGA